rnacentral:misc_RNA from 1 species
GGAAGGAUCAUUAACGUUACCACAUCCAACCUUGCUGUCGACCGCCUGCAAGGGUGGUCGGCAACAAGCACCCGUGACUUGUUAAAGUCCUUAACAGCAUCCGAUCCGAUCGGAUGCCGUUAAAGCACCUUACACAGUUAUGUCUAACCAUGAGCUUCCUCUUGCGAGGGAGCGCAACCGAUCAAUCGAGACACAACUUUUAACAACGGAUAUCUUGGUUCUCACAACGAUGAAGAGCGCAGCGAAAUGCGAUACGUAGUGUGAAUUGCAGAAUUCAGUGAAUCAUCGAGACCUUGAACGCAUAUUGCGCUUGCAGUCACCUGCAAGCAUGCCUGUUUGAGUGUCGUUUAUCCAUCCUCACCAAAAUCAAAGAUAUUCUCUCUGAUCGAGGUGGCGCUGAGCGUUUGCAUCGGAUGCAAUCGCUUGAAAGCGAGAGGGGUUACAGGGCAUCGAAUAUCGCAUCCGAUGACUCCUGCAGUCCAUGGGUGUCUCUGGCAUGCAUCGUCAUGAUCUACACCUCGUGCUGCAGACACGGAGUCUCGAAGCGAGAUUCAUGUUCGACCUCAACUUACUGCAGCUUCUCGCGAGCUGCAGGAAUCUUCAAAACUGCGACCUCAAAUCAGGCAAGGCUACCCGCUGAAUUUAAGCAUAUAAAUAAGCGGAGGAAGAGAAACUAACCAGGAUUCCCUCAGUAACUGCGAGUGAAGCGGGAAGAGCUCAAGCUUAAAAUCCGGAGAGGCCUCCUCUCCCGAAUUGUAGUUUCGCGAAUGACGAUUACGGGCGGUCCGCUCCGGCAGAAGUCCUCUGGAAAGAGGCGCCACAGAGGGUGAGAGCCCCGUACACGGUCGGAUGCCGGGCCGUCAACACGUACCGUCCAUUUGCAGAGUCGGGUUGUUUGGGAGUACAGCCCUAAGCGCGUGGUAAGUUCCAUGUAAGGCUAAAUAAGGGUGAGAGACCGAUAGCGAACAAGUACCGUGAGGGAAAGAUGCAAAGAACUUUGAAAAGAGAGUUAAAAGUGCUUGAAAUUGUUAAAAGGGAAGCGAUUUGGGUCAGUGAAUGGCGGCCGUCGACUCAUUCGCACCCGGGAUGCUGGUUCUCGGUCGGUCUGAGCAGCCCUCUGGGAGGCCAACCGAUCGGUGCCUGGCGUUUCGGGGGCGAAGCACUUCGGCGGUCGCCGAGUCAGCAUCGAUCAGGGGAGGAGUAAAAGGGUCGGAGGAAGGUGACAUGAUGGAGCUCCUUGAGGGUUUCACCGUGUGUUAUAGCCUCCGACAGAUGCUCCUUCCAUCUGAUUGAGGGGUCUUAUGGACCAAAACAGGUGCCCUCUGGGCUGGACAUGGUCAUCCGCUGGUGUUUGCCAGUGGAGGGGACAGCAUGCUGUGCCUUCUGCUGGCGGAUGCCACCGGGUGACCGUCGCACACCUGUUAGAGAUGCUGACCAGACGGCCCAAACCGUCCCGUCUUGAAACACGGACCAAGGAGUCUAACAUAUAUGCGAGUGCUUGGGUGACAAACCUAGACGCGUAAUGAAAGUAAAGGGAGGUUCGGCCUCCUGAGGUGGGAGAGAGUCCCCUCGGGGACGAUCGCACCAUCGACCGAUCUGGAUAUUUUUGGAUAGAUUUGAGUAAGAGCAUAUCUGUUGGGACCCGAAAGAUAGCGAACUAUGCCUGCAUAGGGUGAGGCCAGACGAAAGUCUGGUGGAGGCUCGUAGCGAUACUGACGUGCGGAUCGUUCCGAAGUGCGUCUAACAGCAGCUGCAUGCUAAUCCCCUCGAGAGGAGGUGAUGCUGUCAAAUUGCAGGAAAACCUUAAAGCUUCAUCCACCGUACAUAUGUUUGAAAGAACUGCUGUACAUUGGUAACAGCGAUGAAGAUGCGACAAUGGGCAACCUGCAGCCAAGUCCUAAAGAUCUCUGAGAUCCACGGAUGCAGUCCACAGACUAAAUGUCAGCAGGUGGUACCUGAUGCCACUCGAGAUAUAGUCGAGCAGUUUUCGAAAGAAACACUGACAGACUGGCAAAUCGUUCGUCAAAUGUGGGUAUAGCGGCGAAAGACUAAUCGAGCUGUCUAGUAGCUGGUUCCUUC